CAACAGACAAAGAAAAGAUUUUUGGAUAAAGAGCCUGGUUUUAAACAGGCUCAAAGCCUUCUUCCUGAUCCAGCAAAUGGACAGGACCAUUUAUCCACAGA